rnacentral:lncRNA from 1 species
CCUUCAGUUUUGUUCAUCCCUCACAAAACUUCUCAAGGGGAUGGAGAAAUUAUGGUGCAAUAACCCCAGAGUUAUUUUCGAUCAAUUAAAAGUGAAGUAUAUUUGUAAAAGUUAAUAAAGGGUCUUUUUAAAAAG